AAAUGGGUUUUUUGUGACUUGCAUGUACUUGUGAGGAAAUGUGCGAGUCCGUUUGGCCAUGCAACGCAAGUUCAACUUGUGGCUACUUACAACUAUUUGUGAUUCAGUUUGGCCAGGGCUUUAAACUCUGUCCUUUCUUUUGUAACAGACAGCAUAGGUCUUCAUCGUGUGGAGAACGUUAGCCAUACUGACACAGCUGCAUCACUUCAUGUCUACAUCCCAGCAUUUGACAUGUGUCAGUCAUUUGACCAGCGCACAGGAUACAAGCGGAAAUGUCAAGUGACAUUCUGGAGCAAGUUUGGCUCGAGAACACCUUAUAAACCAAGCUCAUGUGCCAACUAAUGCUAUCCACAAGAAAAGAAGUAUAUGUGUUUUCACUGUAAGGAAUCUUUGAGAAACAAUACAUGUACAUCCCAACAGGGAUUGGUCAACAUUUAUGAUACUUAAAAUCCUUCUGAUAUUUACUGCAAAUAUGAAAAUAUGAACAUAUAAAAAUAUGAGCUAUAUUACACGUACUUAAAGGUUUCAAAACUACUUUUAAGUUUACAGGCCUCGAAAAAAGUGCCAUCUGGUCAUCUGGGACAAGUAGAUUCUCCUUAGAACUGGGCAAGUGACUUUUCACUCGUACUUGCCCCAUGGGCAAGGGAUCAGGCAAGUCGUCUGACAAAUAAAUCAUUAAAAGAUCAAACUAUGACUUGCCAGGGCAAGCAAACUUUAAGAGCUACUUAUCCCAAGGGCAAGCUGGAAUUCAAGGUUUUUUUUGAGUCCUGAGUUUAAUGUUUGCCUAUUUGAUCUAAACAUGUACAUGCUUAGUUUUCAUUUUGUAGGCUUUUGAUAGUUUUGAAUUUUGCCUUCAUUGUACGUGCUAAACUCUAUUUAAUGUAUAGAACAGUAUUUUAUUACUGAAAAAACUAAAUGUCUAACAUCAAAUGAUAAAGUUCCUAUUCUCUGUAUGCCACAUGAAAUUAACCUAUGUAGCCAGAGUGAAGCACUCUACACAGGCUACAUGAAAUUCAAUUUACUUUAAAAAAAGAGACAAGUGCAGGGAACAGAGUGUUGUUAUAAAGUUAAGUGAUUGUUAGAAUGCCAUGGGCUAAAACGUUGAAAAAUGUUACAAAGUAUACAUUGAUAUUGGAAUAGCAAUAAUUAAGUUUUGGUCUUACCUAGGAAGACUUUAAACAAAUCAUAUUUUCUUAUGAAAUUAAUAGAUUGUUCGCUUUAUUAAGACUGUAUUUUGUAGUUGGAUAUUUUACGCAAGUUAAAAACUGUUUGUUAAGUCCUUGUUGACUAUUAAAAUGUACUUCACAGGUGUGAAAACCUUUGGAAUGAAAAAAAGUUAUUAAAGCAGUUGUUGAUUGUA